CAAAGGAGACCACCACCCCCUCCCCUGCUUUAUGGAUCCGGCAGGUCCUGGACUUUACCUGGACUGGAGGAAGUAGACCAGCAUUUAAAAGUCAUGGAAUUUAGAGGUAGUUCAGAAUUCAUCCUCACUUUACAGAAACUUACAGUGCCGUUCAAGCUAGCUGUGUCCUUUUCCACAACCUCUGCACACCUGCUGUUCUGGAACGUCUAAAUGCUUUCUAAUGGCUCAGUCCCACCGCCACCCUGAGUUUCAGUAAAUGACUUUUCUGAACUACAGAAAAGUGAAAACCGUCUGGAAGGAACUUCUGCAGAGACUUCUUCACCACCAGGUAUCUCUUUCUGCUCCUGGCCUCAGAUUCUUUCUUCCCUCCUCUCUCAGAGGAGUACUCCCAAUGUCAAGCUGAGGAGUUUGGACUGUGACCUGUAAGCAAGGGCCACCAGUUUGGGGUUUUGAUCCAAGGGCACAGGGACUGACAUUGUGAAUACAGGUUACCUCUUCCUUUGAGACUAGAGAGAAGGGUGAAGGGUGGGUCAAGGUCCUGGGCUGCUAGUGACCUUCCUGAUCCUGAGAGUGGCCAUGAAAUGAAAAAGGAUAUCCUAGAGAGAUAGAACAAAGGGAGAAGACUUGACAGAAUUUGGUGGUUUUGUUGACAUGUCAAUGGAUGGAACAUAGGGUAAGGGUGAAGAGUGAAGAGUGAAGAUCAUUUUUAGCUUUUUAGUCUGAUUAACUGGGAGGAACACAGAAGUAAGGAAGGAAGUCAUGAGAACUCCCAGCCUUGAGGAGGAAGAGGAUGAGUUCAGUUUUGGGGCCUGUCCAGUUGGAGUGGAAAUCCCCUGCCAGCCACUGGAACUGUGGAGGUAAUGCUCUAAAGAGAGCCUAAGGCUGAAGAUAGAGAUUUGGGUAUAACUCAGGAGCGAUAGUUGGAGCCAUGUAAGUGACGAAGGGUCCAGGAGCAGGACAUGGAAAGAGAACAUAAGACUGAACCUUAUUGGUAUUGGAGGAGGAAACAUCUGUAGGUUGGGGUGUGUAGGGGCAGUGGAAGAUGAGGCUGGAAUGGCACCAGGUCCAGGUCCUAAGAGGCCUUCUGUUCCAUGGUUAGGAAUUUGGACUUGACUUAGAGACGAUGGGCAGUCUAUUGAAAGCUUAAAUCGGGAAGUGACACAGUCAGAUUUGUGUUUCAGAGAGACUGGUGUUUCUUCUUAAAUGAAGGAUUUUAUGAUCUGACAGAUUAUUAGAGUGGAGAAAGACUAGAGGUAGGCAUUAGAAGGCUGCUGUAGUAAUCCUGGUGAGAGGUGAUGGGGUCCUGGACCACUGGCAUGACGAUGAGAUAGAGAGGAAGGGAGUGGGACAUACGUGAUUUAGAAAGUAGAUGCAUUGAUUAGAUAAGGGAGAUGGGGUGAGGAAGAAUGAAGUCUAGGAUUGCUGCCAUGUUUCCUCUUGAGUCAAACCAUUUUGUUCACCUGCAGAUUAGUGUUCCUAAAAUUCUGCUCUACCUUUGUCUCCCCUCUGCUUGCUCAAGAAACCUUCAUUUACUCUCCAUUGCCUUCAGAGCUGACCAUGAAUGGGCAUAGCUCUAUAUUUACUCCAGGUCUUCCCCCACCACAAACGCUACGCUUACCUUCAGCCCAGUGCCCCACCCCCACCCCCGCCAUGGGGGCUAUUUGAAAUGGACAUUUACCCAUCAUAGGGCGUUUAGGGGCUGAACUGAACUAAAAUGUCAAGUGCCUUUCCUCUUUUUCCCCCCACUAUGUAUAUCAACUGAAUAUGAUAAUACUGGUUACUGAUUAGUAGUUAAAUAUCUACGA